GUUUCCGUAGUGUAGUGGUUAUCAAAUUCGCCUCACAUGCGAAAGGUCCCCGGUUCGAAACCGGGCAGGAACA